rnacentral:rRNA from 1 species
CGCUGGCGGCGUGCUUAACACAUGCAAGUCGAACGUGAAGCCCGGUACCUAGUAUUGGGUGGAAAGUGGCGAACGGGUGAGUAACACGUUGGUGACCUGCCCUGAGGAGGGGAAUAACCGUGGGAAACCACGGCUAAUACCCCNGGAUGUCUAAGCUGUUAGAGGGCUUAGACUAAAGCCCCUGCAAGGGGUGCGCCUCGGGAGGGGCCUGCGGGCUAUCAGCUUGUUGGUGGGGUAAUGGCUUACCAAGGCGAAGACGGCUAGGGGGCGUGAGAGCGCGACCCCCCACAAUGGAACUGAGACACGGUCCAUACUCCUACGGGAGGCAGCAGUGAGGAAUAUUGCGCAAUGGGGGCAACCCUGACGCAGCAACGCCGCGUGGACGAUGAAGGCCUUCGGGUUGUAAAGUCCUUUUCUGAAGGAAGAUAGUGACGGUACUUCAGGAAUAAGUCCCGGCUAACUACGUGCCAGCAGCCGCGGUAAAACGUAGGGGGCGAGCGUUAUCCGGAUUUACUGGGCGUAAAGCGCACGUAGGCGGCAUCGUAAGUUGGACGUGAAAGCUCCCGGCUCAACUGGGAGAGGUCGUUCAAAACUGUGGUGCUUGAGGUUGAUAGAGGAGAGUGGAAUUCCCGGUGUAGUGGUGGAAUGCGUAGAUAUCGGGAGGAACACCAGUGGCGAAGGCGGCUCUCUAGGUCACACCUGACGCUGAGGUGCGAAAGCGUGGGGAGCGAACGGGAUUAGAUACCCCGGUAGUCCACGCUGUAAACGAUGGAUACUAGGUGUGGGAGGUUAUUUACCCCUUCUGUGCCGUAGCUAACGCGUUAAGUUUCCCGCCUGGGGACUACGGCCGCAAGGUUAAAACUCAAAGGAAUUGACGGGGGCCCGCACAAGCAGCGGAGCGUGUGGUUUAAUUCGAUGAUACGCGAAGAACCUUACCUGGGCUUGACAUGGUGGUAGUAGUGAAGCGAAAGCGGAACGACCCUUCGGGGAGCCAUCACAGGUGCUGCAUGGCUGUCGUCAGCUCGUGUCGUGAGAUGUUGGGUUAAGUCCCGCAACGAGCGCAACCCUCGUCGCUAGUUAUAUGUGUCUAGUGAGACUGCCGGUAUCAAACCGGAGGAAGGUGGGGAUGACGUCAAGUCAGCAUGGUCUUUAUGUCCAGGGCUACACACACGCUACAAUGGCCGGUACAAUGGGUUGCCAUACCGCGAGGUGGAGCUAAUCCUCAAAGCCGGUCUCAGUUCGGAUUGCAGUCUGC